rnacentral:rRNA from 1 species
GACGAACGCUGGCGGCGUGCUUAACACAUGCAAGUCGAACGGAAAGGCCCUGCUUUUGUGGGGUGCUCGAGUGGCGAACGGGUGAGUAACACGUGAGUAACCUGCCCUUGACUUUGGGAUAACUUCAGGAAACUGGGGCGAAUACCGGAUAGGAGCUCCUGCUGCAUGGUGGGGGUUGGAAUGUUUCGGCGGUUGGGGAUGGACUCGCGGCUUAUCAGCUUGUUGGUGGGGUAGUGGCUUACCAAGGCUUUGACGGGUAGCCGGCCUGAGAGGGUGACCGGCCACAUUGGGGCUGAGAUACGGCCCAGACUCCUACGGGAGGCAGCAGUGGGGAAUAUUGCACAAUGGGCGGAAGCCUGAUGCAGCAACGCCGCGUGCGGGAUGACGGCCUUCGGGUUGUAAACCGCUUUCGCCUGUGACGAAGCGUGAGUGACGGUAAUGGGUAAAGAAGCACCGGCUAACUACGUG